AUUGAACGCUGGCGGCAGGCCUAACACAUGCAAGUCGAACGGUAACAGGAAGCAGCUUGCUGCUUCGCUGACGAGUGGCGGACGGGUGAGUAAUGUCUGGGAAGCUGCCUGAUGGAGUGGGAUAACUACUGGAAACGGUAGCUAAUACCGCAUAAUGUCGCAAGACCAAAGAGGGGGACCUUCGGGCCUCUUGCCAUCGGAUGUGCCCAGAUGGGAUUAGCUUGUUGGUGGGGUAACGGCUCACCAAGGCGACGAUCCCUAGCUGGUCUGAGAGGAUGACCAGCCACACUGGAACUGAGACACGGUCCAGACUCCUACGGGAGGCAGCAGUGGGGAAUAUUGCACAAUGGGCGCAAGCCUGAUGCAGCCAUGCCGCGUGUGUGAAGAAGGCCUUCGGGUUGUAAAGUACUUUCAGCGGGGAGGAAGGGAGUAAAGUUAAUACCUUUGCUCAUUGACGUUACCCGCAGAAGAAGCACCGGCUAACUCCGUG
rnacentral:rRNA from 1 species